AAAAUGUGGAUUGUUGGUAUUGCAGAAUGUACAAUCAAAGGCUGCAGAGAUCGGUUGGGGUUUAGGAGUGCUGCAGGCUGUCCCAUGCUCCUUUGGGAUUGUUUGGCCUCUUUUCACUAAAGUCUCGGUUGAAGUGGAAGACAAUGCAGGAGCUCACUUGCCACUCUAGGCAAGACUUGCUUUUCAUCCUUGAAAGUUGGGAAAUGAUCCGGCUGUUGUGCUGCGAAGUGGGCCCAGUGCUCUGGGUCGACAGUUCGUUUGGGCCCGGCCCGCAGGGGUGUGGUUUUGGGCUCGUGAAUAAAAGAUUCAAG